AACGAACGCUGGCGGCAUGCCUAACACAUGCAAGUCGAACGAGACCUUCGGGUCUAGUGGCGCACGGGUGCGUAACGCGUGGGAAUCUGCCCUUGGGUCUGGAAUAACAGUUAGAAAUGACUGCUAAUACCGGAUGAUGACUUCGGUCCAAAGAUUUAUCGCCCAGGGAUGAGCCCGCGUCGGAUUAGCUAGUUGGUGGGGUAAAAGCUCACCAAGGCGACGAUCCGUAGCGGGUCUGAGAGGAUGAUCAGCCACACCGGGACUGAGACACGGCCCAGACUCCUACGGGAGGCAGCAGUGGGGAAUAUUGGACAAUGGGCGAAAGCCUGAUCCAGCAAUGCCGCGUGAGUGAUGAAGGCCUUAGGGUUGUAAAGCUCUUUUACCCGGGAUGAUAAUGAUAGUACCGGGAGAAUAAGCCCCGGCUAACUCCGUGCCAGCCGCCGCCGUAAAAC
rnacentral:rRNA from 1 species